rnacentral:rRNA from 1 species
CUGCUAUCGGAUUGAUACUAAGCCAUGCGAGUCAUUGUAGCAAUACAAGGCAGACGGCUCAGUAACGCGUAGUCAACCUACCCUAUGGACGGGAAUAACCUCGGGAAACUGAGUAUAAUGCCCGAUAGAACAUUAUGCCUGGAAUGGUUUAUGUUCCAAAUGAUUUAUCGCCGUAGGAUGGGACUGCGGCCUAUCAGUUUGUUGGUGAGGUAAUGGCCCACCAAGACUAUUACAGGUACGGGCUCUGAGAGGAGUAGCCCGGAGAUGGGUACUGAGACACGGACCCAGGCCCUAUGGGGCGCAGCAGGCGAGAAAACUUUGCAAUGUGCGAAAGCACGACAAGGUUAAUCCGAGUGGUUUCUGCUAAAAGAACCUUUUGUUAGUCCUAAAAACACUAACGAAUAAGGGGUGGGCAAGUUCUGGUGUCAGCCGCCGCGGUAAAACCAGCACCUCAAGUGGUCAGGAUGAUUAUUGGGCCUAAAGCAUCCGUAGCCUGCUCUGUAAGUUUUCGGUUAAAUCCAUGUGCUCAACGCAUGGGCUGCCGAAAAUACUGCAUAGCUAGGGAGUGGGAGAGGUAGACGGUACUCAGUAGGAAGGGGUAAAAUCCUUUGAUCUAUUGAUGACCACCUGUGGCGAAGGCGGUCUACCAGAACACGUUCGACGGUGAGGGAUGAAAGCUGGGGGAGCAAACCGGAUUAGAUACCCGGGUAGUCCCAGCCGUAAACUAUGCAAACUCAGUGAUGCAUUGGCUUGUGGCCAAUGCAGUGUUGCAGGGAAGCCGUUAAGUUUGCCGCCUGGGAAGUACGUACGCAAGUAUGAAACUU